AUAAAAUGGUAGUCUGAAAGCGAAAUUUGGUGAGCUUCCAGAAUGUGGGUGAUGGCCAUCCCAUAAGGAAAGCUGGUGGGAUCUUAUUCGCUUUCAAUCAUAAAAUUGAUGACCUAGGAGGACAGCUUGAUUUUGAGUUUGGAAAUAAGACAGUAGACGAAGAAGGUGUCCCUUUGGGAGAGAGUUGAGAAUGAGCCAGUUCUGGAAAGAAGAGUAGUUGCAACAAUAUGAGCAAGAAAUCGAGUUU
rnacentral:lncRNA from 1 species